GGAUAGCUCAAUCAGUAGAGCAUGCGACUCUUAAUCUCAGGAUCGUGGGUUCCAGCCCCACGUUGGACA